GCAGAAUUCUGUUAAGUCUAAAUCUACAGAACAAGCUUCUCUUACAAGAGUUGAGUGAUUCUCUUAUUUACAGAUUCCUGUCUACCAAUAUGCUUUAAAUAUCAUUUUCCAACAUUUUUCCUGAGCUCUUUAAAAGAAUGAUGUUGAAUCUGAAGAGAACCUGUACUCCCAUGUUCACUGAAGUAUUGUUCAUGUUAGCUAAGUAAUGGAGAACAAUCUUCACGUCUAUAAGCUAAUGAAUUGGUAAAAAAAAAUAUAAUGU
rnacentral:sRNA from 1 species